GCCGGUGUGGCAUAGUGGUUUGAGCACUGGACUAGGAUUCUGGGAGACCAGGGUUUGAAUCAUAGCUUCGGCC